rnacentral:lncRNA from 10 species
CGGAAGUCUCCACUUGCAAAAUGAGUACCUCUCUUUGAAGGACCAGGUGUAGUCAGACAAAACUGAAAACCUAACUUAGUAGUGUGCACCUGUAACAAUAGCUGAAUGUUGGCCAAUCCCAGCAGCCAUGUUUCAGCCACUCAUAGACUGCUGAAUGUGCAAACUGCAUUCAAAUAAGGCAAACACCGAGUUGUAACUGAUCUCACUGUUUCUGUUCCUCACUUCUGAUUCCUAUGGUGUCAGAAGCAGGAUCUGAAGUGGAGCUUCUAGCGAGCCCCACCAGGAGCGCUGAGUGAAAAUACAAGGCACCUGCAGGACUCACUUGCAUCCAUUGAUCUCUCAGAGUGCCUGGAGAUGGUAGAACCCAAAGAUUGGAUUUUCUGAGAACAUCAGAGAAGGACUGUCCUUGCCAUCCACGCUACAGCAAAACUUUGGAGCCUUGAACCUUGGGUUCAUAACCUCACAACUGAGAAGGGUCCCUCCACACUCCUGGAACUAUACACCCAUUGGAACCCUUAAGAAAGGAAAAUAUUUGGAUCAAGUCUACAGAGAAAUAUCACAAAUGAUUAAAGGACCAAGAAAAAAAAAUCUUGUGAAGUGUUUAAGGUGGAUUGGCUCCAGGAUGGACCACCAUGGAUAACAAAAUCUGGAGAUGCUCAAGUCUCUUACAGCCAGCCCUCUGGGUCCACAGAUACAACCAACCACCCAUCAGCUGAUGAGGAACCCAUAGAUUUAAUUACAUACAGAUAAUUAUUAAAGAGAUUAUCUGCAGAAUAAAUUAUUAACAUACAUAAUGACUUCCAAACUUAUUUAUUCCCUAGGAAUUUUUUAAAAUUUCUCUAGAAAUUGCUACCUGAUUGAGUAUAAUACAUGUUCCUCUGUGUUGAGAUAUGUAAACUAGAGAAGUUGCAUAUUUGUAUAAGUUAAAAUAAAUAUAUAGGUUUCUCUCUUCUCCCUCUAUUCCUCCACAAACAAGCACAUAUUUAUAAAAGAACAUUAAUCCUCAAAAAGAUACUACAGCCAAGAACACAUUGAAUACUUUCAUUAAACAUUGUUUUGAACAUAAUACCUUUACUUUAUCAUCUACUGGCUAAAAUUCAUAGUGCUUAAAUUGCCUAGUUUUCUAAGACAGACUUUCCUAUACAGUAUUCCGUAAGUAUUGUUAUAGAAUACUAGAUGCUGGGUUAACAAAAGUUAAGUUCUUUUAUGGUAGAGUUUUCCUAAGACUUUAAUAUCUAAGUGAGACUUCUGGGAGCUAGCAACAUGCUAUUUCUUGGACUUGGGUGGUGGUUUCAUCGGUUUUUGCUUUAUAAUUAUGUUUUUGAAAUGUACAUCUAUUUUUUAUUCACUUUACUGUAAAUACAUAAAAAAGUCUUACAUAUAAUGUAUGUUGUGAUAUUCGAAGGAGAUAUAGAUUAAAAAUAAUUUUCUCUUGGUACACACAUUUAACAUCAGCGUUGCUCUACAAGGGUUUUAAAAGACAUUUAAAGCCACCAACUAAUUAGAAAAUAAACCAUUUACCUAAAUUGAUAUCCACAUACCACAAUCGUGAUGGGUCACAAAGCUAAGUAGAAAAUUAAUUCAACUGUCUAAAUAAUUCUUACGAAAGUGUAUUAUUCUUGUGUGCAUACAUUUAGAUAUCAUUUUGUUUUGAUUUUUAACCUAAAUAAAUGUUUCAGUUUCUUUUCACUUGGUAAAGGAUAAAAUCUAGGGUUCUCCUACAAAUCUGUGGGUCCAGAACCUCUCAUUACAAGAAAGCAAUGUGGAUUCCUUAUAGUUAUAAGUAAAGGUAAUAACACCGUUCUCAUCUCUUCAUUUUUCUUUGAUGGUUUUACUUUGCAAAAAGUAUAAAAUGACACAUUAGACUGAAAUAAAAUGUUCUGACUUCCUUAGAACCAACACUCAGGUCUUUUUUGAUCAAGAAUAAACUAUUUUUAUCAGACUACCAUUAUAUUUAAAUACCUUUCAACUAUUUACAAAAUGACCUCACAAAUUGUCCAAAUAUUUAUACCUUUAAUAACUUUAAAUACUCCAUGUAUUAUAAAUUAGAUAAUGAAAAUUAAAGAGAUUAGAUGUAGAAUAAAUUAACAUGCCUAAUGAUUUCUAAAGAGAAAUGCUAUUGCUCUUUUUAUUAAACUAGCUUAUUUAUUCCCUAAGAAUUACUUAAAAUUUGCCCAAAAAUUGCUACCUGAAGUAUAACCCAUAUUCUUUUGUGUUAAACCGUGUUUAUUAUUCUUCAGAUGUAUUUCUAAAAAACAUGACAUCAAUUUUGCUGUGCUAAAUAAGUAUUGUAUAUUACACUUUUGGAAACACUUACAGACAUAAAGCAUUUCCAACAGACAAGACAUGUACAAAUAAUUUCCCCCAGAUUUUUGUAUAGUCAUUUUAGAGCUUUUUAACAAGGGUAAGAACUUUGUUGAUGAGAUGUAAGCCUUUUUUCCCAUUUGGGCAUUAAAAAUGAUGGGAUUUGGCAAAUGGGAACCAUAUUUAUGCAAAGAAAAAACAGUAGCAGGACACACUGGGGAAGUGAGUUCUGAGCUUGGUGCUCUCACUGACUAGUGGUGUGUACUUACUUAAACUUGACUUACUAAAAUGGUAUUUGGGACAAUUGGCCUAGGUACUCUCUAUAAGCCCACAGUCUAUUCUACUUCAGCAAUUCUAUAUUUGCUUGUCGAAUUCUACCUCUUAAUUUCUAACUCUUCAUUCAUCAUGUACCAGGCACUGUACUAGAUGCCUGAAAGAUAAAGUUCCAGCCUUCAGGGCUCAAAGACUAAAGGGGGAAAUGAUACCCAAAUCAAUAUUAAAACAUCAAUCUCAUGAUGAAUGUCUGUACAGUGACAUUCAAGCAUAGACAAAGGAACAAUGAACCACCACAGAAGAGGUAUUGUCUGGGAGAGACUUCACAGAGAUGUCGGAGUUUAUUAGGCAGAGAAGGGGAAAGGACACGGCCAACAGGGACUGCGUGUGAAAAGGACAGUGACUUCAAGGACCUGGAGGGUUGGCUGGGAGGACAAAAAUUGUGGAGAAGGGAAAGGAGAGGGAGAUGGAGAACCAUGUGACAGGCCACUGAACUGCUCUUAAGCAGCUGGUACACAGAUCAGAUAUGUAUUUUGAAAUAUGAAUUUGGAAAGCUAACACAAAGGCAAGGCUUCCAGAAGGCAAUGAGGAGAGAGAACCUGAAGAGAGAUGGUGGUGAGGCUGGAUCUACCAAAAACAUUAAGUGGAUGGUAACAUUGUAUCAUUAACAGAAAGGAAACAUGUAUUUUAUAAACACUGGUGAUAUUGGUACUAGUAUCAUUGUUCUGCUGGGAAAAAUUGUCAUCCUGACUUAGUCCUAGGUCCCAAGUAUGGCUACCACAUUUCCACACAGAUAAAAGUUACAAUUGUACCUGUAGUCAUGGCCCACUUUCUCAGAAAAUACUUUACUUUAGAUAUGCCGGAGUGUUUCACUCAAUAUUAACCUGAAUCUCCCAAUUUUUCUCCAAGAAACCAUGAAUGAUAACCUAGACCUAGAAAAUUGUGGGAGGGUAGUAAGGUGCUAAUUGCUAACCUCUACCAGAAAGCAAGAAUGUUACAAUAAGAACCCCGAUUCAGGUAUUCCUUGAUUUCUUGGGCUGAUUUUUAUCGGUGACAUAGACUCCAGUGACCAUUCUCUAAUCCACUUCAGGCCUAAGCUAUUUGCACUUGAAUAUAUCAUUCUUGCUCACAAAAUAUAAUUUAGUGUUUUAGAAUAAAAUAGGACAGCUAAAGGAACGAGUUCAUUUUCUUAAAAGCCCAAAUGGUUUUAGGCAAUUCUUAGGACACUGGGGAGAUCUGCUCUGUUUUUUAUUUUAUAAUUCUAAUCGACCCUCACCUUCAUGUAUUGUCUUUGGAUAACAUUGCUGUUUUAUACAUUCACUCGGAAACUUCUGAAGGAAAUAUUUUUAUACAGGUCAUUUAAAAAAUUCUCUGAUCAUACUGUAUGCUGCUCUGUCAACCUCUGUUAAGUAUAAAGUAAAAUAAAACAAAACCUGGCUGGCUGCCCCACGCUCAAUGCAACAAUAUGCCCAACCACAACACCCUAUUUUUUUUUUUUAACCUGUUUCUGAAGAAGUGACUUUAGCAUCUGGAAACACCACUACUGUAUCUGAACACUUUUAUGUGCAUGUAUGAGAUAAUCGCUGCUGCAAGUUCAAGUUCAUUACAGCCUCAUUUCAAGUUCCACCUGGGAAUUAAACUUAAAUUGAGACUGAAAUGGGUUUUGUUAUCCUUAUUGUGCUGCUUAGAAAAAGAUGCUUCAUGGUGAUAGGGAGAAUGAUUGCCAUUGGAGCUGAAAACAGCAUUUCAGAUAGUUCACCACAUACACACACACAAUAAUAUAAAAGUGAGAUAAUUCCAAAGACAGUCCAGAGGGUCCCAUUUUUUUUUCUUGUGAACUGACUUAAUUGUGGGUAUCUGAUUGACUGGACUGGAUCUACAACAUUUAUUUUAAUAUUUUCUGAUCAAUUGCUAAGACCAGUGCUAUGCUUAUAGGAGACUGGAUAGUCACAAAAGAUUCCUAUAUCAUGCUUAAAUACAUCCACUGACAGCUAAUGGCAUUGUUGGGCAUCGAGUAUUUGGGAGAUGGAGAUAACAAUACACAUAAGGGACAGUUAAUCUUUAUUAUGUACUGUCUGUAAGAGAAGAAUAGAUGAAAGUCUCUAUAUCUGUGUUAACUUAUUCAGAAUGAUGUGUUCCACUCAGCUUGCAUGGCUGCUUUAAAAUCAGUCAAUUUCAACUAUAAUCAUUCACUAAAGAUUGCCUACUAAGAGAUAAGAGUGGCCAGGUAUAUACAUGUGUAUAUGUUUGUGUGUGCAUGUGUGUAUGUUAGACUCCACUUACUUACUAGUUUGAAACUUCAAGAUUCCUGAUGUUAAGUCACUAUUUUAAUAAUUUUUUUGUGGACCUACUUUGUGCACUUAUAAUUCCAAAGUAAUACUAACUAUGGAACUGAUCGGCAUGGAGAAAACAACCAAGAACACGCUUUUCAAUAGUGUGAUACAUUAAAGUUUGAUGGUUAAAUAAACCACUAUUAAUGGUUUAUUAAUUAAUAAUGAUAAUCACUGAUUUCUAACAUGCACCACCUGAAAAGAGAUGGAAACACUGAACUCAUUCUUGUCAUUUAUAGUGAUUCACAUGAAUCUGAGGUACAGAUGGACUUCAAACUUACGCAGAAUAAGCUAUGAAAAUUGUGUUCAUGGAAUAUUAGAAGGAUCCUUUAACACAGCAGUCCCCACACUUUUUGGCACCAGGAACUGGUUUCAUGGAAGACCAUUUUUCCACUGACCUGGGGGUGGGGGCGAUGGUUUAGGGAUGAUUCAAGUGUAUUACAUUUAUUGUGUACUUUAUUUCUAUUACAUUGUGAUAUAUAAUAAAAUAAUUAUACAACUCACCACAAUGUGGAAUCAGUGACAGCCCUGAGCUUGUUUUCC